GACAGAGGGGGCAAGCGUUGUCCGGAGUUACUGGGCGUAAAGCGCACGCAGGUGGCCAUGCAAGUGCUUUGUGAAAGCGCUCGGCUUAACCGAGCGAGGCCAGAGCAGACUGUGUGGCUCGAGGAUGGCAGAGGUCGUCGGAAUUGCCGGUGUAGUGGUGAAAUGCGUAGAGAUCGGCAGGAACACCCAUGGGGAAACCAGACGACUGGGCCACUCCUGACACUCAUGUGCGACAGCGUGGGGAGCGAACUGG
rnacentral:rRNA from 1 species